rnacentral:sRNA from 1 species
ACGACUUUGAACUUGAUCUCUAAUAUUGUUAAAUAAUCAUGUAGAUGAGCGCAGAAACCAGAAAACUGCUCCCCGGAUUAUUAUAUGCAAAUCGGCAACUGACUUUUGAAUUUGGGAACGAAAACAAACAAAACAGUCCAAAAUCUAAACAAAUGAAAGUCAUGCGGAGUUUGAAGCUGGCAAUUAGUGGAGCUCUGACAGCUCCGACCGCAAAUGCUGGGGAUGCUGUAAUGUCCAAGACGUCUCAUGGGAACUGGGAGUGAGGCGUGCUGCGGUGAUUGGCGGGAUGGUGUUGGCAUUGGCGUUGGCGUUGGCGUUGGCUUCGUGCAUUGGGCGACUGGUUGCAUAAACCCUAAGCUGAAAAAGAAAUUUAAUAACUAAUAACUCAAUGUGAACUGAGAGCUGAAGCUCAAAGCUUGUGCGGCGACUGCGUUUGUUGGCUUGUGACAUUUCGAAUAUAAAAAUUAUGUAAUUACGGUAGGAAAAACAACAACAA